CUUGGAAAGGACGUAUUCAGAAGCAGCUUAUGGUCCUUUUUCCUUCCUCAUAUGUAAGAAGAUGGCCUGAAUGGUUUCCACUUCCCUGGAACCUAGCUGCUCAGAGUCGCAGGUGCGUGGGCACUGUGUGUCCCAGGCACAUCAGGUUGCUACAGGUCCUGGGUGCUGCCUAUAGCUGGCGUGUCUCCUUUGUGCUCAUCCUGACCACAGAAAACAAAGAACACACAACUGACCCUUCCCAAAGCCAGUCCUUCCAUCAAAAAUGAAUAUACAUUCUGAUACCAG
rnacentral:lncRNA from 1 species